rnacentral:rRNA from 1 species
GACCUCAGAUCAGGCAAGGCUACCCGCUGAAUUUAAGCAUAUUAAUAAGCGGAGGAAAAGAAACUAACAAGGAUUCCCUCAGUAACGGCGAGUGAAGCGGGAAGAGCUCAAAUUUGAAAUCUCCUCUGCUUGCAUCGGAGAGUUGUAGUUGCGAGAAGCACUUUCUAGGUGGAUCGCUGGUGCCUAAGUUGCUUGGAACAGCACGUCGCAGAGGGUGACAACCCCGUCUGUGGCGCCAGCGGCCGCUGACGAUGUGC